CCCGAGUACCCAGCAUGCACUGGGGCUCGUUGCUGCCAGGGCUUCUGUGUGUGGUCUCCACGUUGCCUUCUUUAUUAUCCUGGGGAGUCUGAGACGCGCACCUGCUCAAGCUCUCGCCUGUUUAGCUAGUCUGUCCUGCGAUAUCUCUCCUCAGAGUAUCGCCACUCGUCCCCUCCCCUCCUCUCCACGUCUCCGGGGCCCACACUGGACCAUCUGCCAAGCGCAAGGAGCUUUGAAGAUAGCGGGCUCGGCUGCGAGAGGUCCUGUUCCCCUCUGGGCAAAGGGAGGUCUGGGAGAAUCACUGCACCUGAAAGUCAUCCGUAUGCACGUACACUCUCAGAGGUACUGUGAUAGUGGAGAAGCCCAGAGAGGAAGUGAUGUAAAUGGAUUGCUUCUGUUUGCUCAUUUGCUGUGUUUGGAUAUUUCCUUUUUAAACAACAAAAUCCAUGCUGACCACCCCUCCCCCCUCCCUUCCCAGCGAUUUCCCAUAACCUGCAAAAACUGUUAACAAGA